CGACGGCAGCACGGGAGCAAUCCUGGUGGCGAGUGGCGAACGGGUGAGUAAUGUAUCGGAACGUACCUUUCAGUGGGGGAUAACGUAGCGAAAGUUACGCUAAUACCGCAUAUUCUGUGAGCAGGAAAGCAGGGGAUCGCAAGACCUUGCGCUGAUUGAGCGGCCGAUAUCAGAUUAGCUAGUUGGUGAGGUAAAGGCUCACCAAGGCGACGAUCUGUAGCGGGUCUGAGAGGAUGAUCCGCCACACUGGAACUGAGACACGGUCCAGACUCCUACGGGAGGCAGCAGUGGGGAAUUUUGGACAAUGGGCGCAAGCCUGAUCCAGCCAUGCCGCGUGAGUGAAGAAGGCCUUCGGGUUGUAAAGCUCUUUCAGCCGGGAAGAAAACGCAUGGGUUAAUACCCUGUGUGGAUGACGGUACCGGAAUAAGAAGCACCGGCUAACUACGUGCCAGCAGCCGCGGUAAUACGUAGGGUGCGAGCGUUAAUCGGAAUUACUGGGCGUAAAGCGUGCGCAGGCGGUUUGUUAAGAUAGGCGUGAAAUCCCCGGGCUCAACCUGGGAACUGCGUUUAUGACUGGCAGGCUAGAGUAUGGCAGAGGGGGGUGGAAUUCCACGUGUAGCAGUGAAAUGCGU
rnacentral:rRNA from 1 species